ACGAACGCUGGCGGCGUGCUUCACCCCUGCCAGUCGAACGGGUCUGCCCUGUUUUUUGCGGGGUGGGUCAGUGGCGAACGGGUGAGUAACACGUGAGUAACCUGCCCCUCACUUCUGGAUAACCGCUUGAAAGGGUGGCUAAUACGGGGUGUUCUGGCUGUGCCGCAUGGUGUGGCUGGGAAAGAUUCACUUUUGUGGUGUUUUGGUGGGGGAUGGGCUCGCGGCCUAUCAGCUUGUUGGUGGGGUGAUGGCCUGCCAAGGCUUUGACGGGUAGCCGGCCUGAGAGGGUGGGCGGUCACACUGGGACUGAGAUACGGCCCAGACUCCUGCGGGAGGCAGCAGUGGGGGGUAUUGCACAAUGGGCGGAAGCCUGAUGCAGCGACGUCGCGUGAGGGAUGGAGGCCUUCGGGUUGUGAACCUCUUUCGCCGGUGAAGAAGGUCCUGCUCUUUGUGGUGGGGUUGACGGUAGCCGGGUUAUGAAGCGCCGGCUAACUACGU
rnacentral:rRNA from 1 species